rnacentral:lncRNA from 1 species
AUAUAUACUCCUCUCUUUACCCUUUUAACUUAAAAAAAAGAAAAAAAAAAAACAUGAGCGAUAGUGACGAUUCCGUAAAUGAGCUGGAAAAUAUAAAAUAUAAUGAUAUUUUGUUCGAGCAUAAUACAACUAAUGAUAUUGAUUAUUUUGAUGAUAGCUUACCUCAUAUAAAUUUUUAUUUAAAAUUUCAAAAUAAAGAUUCUUUACAAAAAUUUAUUAAUGAAUCUCAAAAAAAAAAAAAAUAUCAACAAAUAGGCAGUAAUUGUAUAGGUGACACAAAAGAAAGCAAAAAUGAAACAGACUCCAAUAUAGUAAAUGUGUUAGACGAUUUGAAUGAAGGUGGGUUUUACAUCGGAUAUGAUCCACCAACUUAUAAUGAAAGCAUAUGUUAUGACAUGAAUGUUUUUAACAAACUGAUUUACUAUGUGCAUAAUGCCAGUAUAGAUACAGUUAUGCAUUUAGAAGAUAGUGAAAGUGACACAAAAGAGUUAAACAUGAUUUUUCAAAAAAAUAAAGAACAAUUUAUAUUUAGUAUUGAAAGAAUAAACCGAACAAACAAUCUAAUGGCUAUCCAAGAAUAUUGUUUUAUAUGUAAUAAAAAAAAAAAAUUAAAUAAAGUAUUAAGAAAAAUUAACAUAAAUGUAUGUUACGACUGUAAACUGUUAGACGAUAAUUUUAGAAUGAUAUCCUUAAGUAAAUUAUUAAAUAAAUAUUCAUUAAAUAAUACUGACUUAUUAAAAUACAAAGAUAACUUAGCUUUGUUACUAAUGAAAAACCCACGUGGUUAUACAAAACAAAUGAAGUUAUAUUUUGUUUUUCAAAUAAAAGAAAUAGCUAUAAGAAAACACCAAAGCAUGGAACACAUUAAAACGUUAUAUGAUAUGAAAAUUUAUAAUUUAGGUACUAACAAAAGUAAUACUACAACUAAAACUACUACUAUUACUAAUACAGGUAUUAAUAAAAAAAAAAGAAAAAGUUUGCAUCAACUAAAAAAACCCAAAAGUAUUUAUAAUAAUGAAUUUUUAAAAAUUAUGGAAAAACAAAAAAUUAUUUGCGAUAAUAAUGAACACGAGUUUUAUGAUCCACUAUGUAUAGACCAGCAGAACAAUAUGUACAUAAAAAAAUGUAAACAAUGUGAGUACCAAAUCGAGUUUAUGAAUUUUUAAAAAAAAAAAAAAAAAAAAAAAAAAAUGGUACAUAAAUGCGUGCAUAUGUAUAUAUAUAUAUACAUACAUACAUAUAUAUAUGUGCUUAUGUAUGUACAUAUUUUAUGCGUUGAUAUAUAAUAAUAUUACAAUAUAUAUAGACACAUAUUAAUUAGCAUGUGUAUAAAAAUUAACCAAGAAAAUAAAUAAACAAAUAAAUGGAUGAAUGGAUGGAUG